rnacentral:lncRNA from 1 species
AAAUCUAUUACAGAUGCAAACGAGAGCCUCGCGGUGAGACAAUCUGUCUUUUGGACACCAGCUUGUCAUCAGAAAUCUCACCAUCACUUCUUCACCUGCUCAUGUGGUACCCAGCUGUGCCUUGCUGGCCCUGCUUUUGCCUGGAGUGUGAGAUUUGCUGUUCAGAGGGGUUGAUUUUAACCGACUGUAAUGUUUUAGGCUGACGUGAUAAACUCUUGCUCUAAUGGCAAACCAGUUAAAAAGCAGACCUGGGAGCAGCAAUACCAGCUUGUCACCCAACACUGCUUGCCUUGAGUAGGUAUGUGAACUCCUUUAGUAUCCCUUCUCCC